CCCAGACUCCUACGGGAGGCAGCAGUGGGGAAUAUUGGACAAUGGGGGGAACCCUGAUCCAGCGACGCCGCGUGAGUGAAGAAGUAUUUCGGUAUGUAAAGCUCUAUCAGUAGGGAAGAAAAUGACGGUACCUGACUAAGAAGCCCCGGCUAACUACGUGCCAGCAGCCGCGGUAAUACGUAGGGGGCAAGCGUUAUCCGGAUUUACUGGGUGUAAAGGGAGCGUAGACGGCGGUGCAAGCCAGAUGUGAAAGCCCGGGGCUCAACCCCGGGACUGCAUUUGGAACUGUGCUGCUAGAGUGUCGGAGAGGCAGGCGGAAUUCCUAGUGUAGCGGUGAAAUGCGUAGAUAUUAGGAGGAACACCGGUGGCGAAGGCGGCCUGCUGGACUGUAACUGACAUUGAGGCUCGAAAGCGUGGGGAGCAAACAGGAUUAGAUACCCCCGUAUA
rnacentral:rRNA from 1 species